rnacentral:rRNA from 1 species
UACGUAGGGUGCAAGCGUUAAUCGGAAUUACUGGGCGUAAAGCGCGCGCAGGCGGCCAUUCAAGUCAGGGGUGAAAGCCCAGAGCUCAACUCUGGAACUGCCCUUGAAACUGUAUGGCUUGAGUAUGAGAGAGGUGAGUGGAAUUCCCAGUGUAGAGGUGAAAUUCGUAGAUAUUGGGAAGAACACCGGUGGCGAAGGCGGCUCACUGGCUCAUUACUGACGCUCAGGCGCGACAGCGUGGGGAUCAAACAGG